CUCAAUGAAAUUCAAUAGCCGCAAUAUUUUGUGCUAAGGUAGCAUAAUCAUUUGUUUUUUAAUUAAAAACUAGAACGAAAGAUUUAACAUUUUUAUUUCUAUCUCAUAUACAUAAAUAUAACUUAUUUUAAAUAUUAAAAAAUAUUUAUUAUUAAAAAAGACGACAAGACCCUAUCGAACUUAACUAAAGUUUAACUGGGGUAGUUAAUUAAAUAUAAUUUUAAUUUAAUCAAAAAAAAAUCUAAUAUAAUUAAAUAAUCAAGUUACCGUAGGGAUAACAGCGUAAUAAUUUUUUCAAGAUCUAAUUCAAAAAAUUGUUUACGACCUCGAUGUUGAAUUAAUAAUCUAUUAAAUGCAAUAAUUUAAUAAUGAGAGUCUGUUCGACUU
rnacentral:rRNA from 1 species